rnacentral:rRNA from 1 species
CCUACGGGUGGCAGCAGUCGAGAAUCAUUCACAAUGGCGGAAACCCUGAUGGUGCGACGCCGCGUGGGGGAAUGAAGGUCUUCGGAUUGUAAACCCCUGUCAUGUGGGAGCAAAUUAAAAAGAUAGUACCACAAGAGGAAGAGACGGCUAACGCUGUGCCAGCAGCCGCGGUAAUACAGAGGUCUCAAGCGUUGUUCGGAAUCCCUGGGCGUAAGGCGUGCGUAGGCUGUUUCUUAAGUCGUGUGUGAAAGGCGCGGGCUCAACCCGCGGACGGCACAUGAUACUGCGAGACUAGAGUAAUGGAGGGGGAACCGGAAUUCUCGGUGUAGCAGUGAAAUGCGUAGAUAUCGAGAGGAACACUCGUGGCGAAGGCGGGUUCCUGGACAUUAACUGACGCUGAGGCACGAAGGCCAGGGGAGCGAAAGGGAUUAGAUACCCGAGUAGUC